rnacentral:rRNA from 1 species
UACGUAGGGUGCAAGCGUUGUCCGGAAUUAUUGGGCGUAAAGAGCUCGUAGGCGGUCUGUUGCGUCGGCUGUGAAAACCCGGGGCUCAACCCCGGGCCUGCAGCCGAUACGGGCAGACUAGAGUUCGGCAGGGGAGACUGGAAUUCCUGGUGUAGCGGUGAAAUGCGCAGAUAUCAGGAGGAACACCAAUGGCGAAGGCAGAUCUCUGGGCCGUAACUGACGCUGAGGAGCGAAAGCAUGGGGAGCGAACAGG